rnacentral:rRNA from 1 species
GUAAGCCUAAGUAUUCCUGUCUGACCGAUAGUGUACUAGUACCGUGAGGGAAAGGUGAAAAGCACCCCGGGAGGGGAGUGAAAUAGUUCCUGAAACCGUGCGCUUACAAUCCGUCGGAGCCUUCUUUGUGGGGUGACGGCGUGCCUAUCGAAAAAUGAGUCUGCGAGUCAGUGGUAUGUGGCGAGGCUAACCCGGGUGGGGGAGCCGUAGCGAAAGCGAGUUUUAAAAGGCGUUUUAGUCGCAUGUCCUGGACCCGAAGCGGGAUGAUCUAGCCCUGAGCAGGUUGAAGCGCGGGUAAGACCGUGUGGAGGACCGAACCCACCUAGGUUGAAAACUGGGGGGAUGACUUGGGGUUAGGGGUGAAAGGCCAAUCAAAUUCCGUGAUAGCUGGUUCUCUCCGAAAUGCAUUUAGGUGCAGCGUCAUGUUAUUGCUUGCAGGGGGUAGAGCUACUGGAUGCUUGCGGGCCCAUACCGGGUACUAAUAGCAGCCAAACUCCGAAUACCUGUUAGGUUUAUCAUGGCAGUGAGUCGGCGGGGGAUAAGCUCCGUCGUCAAAAGGGAAACAGCCCUGAUCGUCGUCUAAGGUCCCGAAGCGCGUGCUAAGUGGGAAAGGAUGUGGAGUCGCAUAGACAGCCAGGAGGUUGGCUCAGAAGCAGCCAUCCUUGAAAGAGUGCGUAACAGCUCACUGGUCUAGUGGUUCCGCGCCGACAAUGUAGCGGGGCUUAAGCACGCCACCGAAGACGC